AGCAGCCGCGGUAAUUCCAGCUCCAAUAGCGUAUAUUAAAGUUGUUGCAGUUAAAAAGCUCGUAGUUGAAUUUCGGGGUCAGUAGGUUGGUCAUGCCACUGGUAUGUACUGGUCUCACUGAUUCCUCCUUCCUGAUGAACUGUAAUGCCAUUAAUUUGGUGUUGCAGGGAAUCUGGACUGUUACUUUGAAAAAAUUAGAGUGUUUAAAGCAGGCUAACGCCUGAAUACAUUAGCAUGGAAUAAUGAAAUAGGACGUUCGAUCCUAUUUUGUUGGUUUCUAGGAUUGACGUAAUGAUUAAUAGGGAUAGUUGGGGGCAUUAGUAUUCAAUUGUCAGAGGUGAAAUUCUUGGAUUUAUUGAAGACUAACUACUGCGAAAGCAUUUGCCAAGGAUGUUUUCAUUAAUCAAGAACGAAAGUUAGGGGAUCGAAGACGAUCAGAUACCGUCGUAGUCUUAACCAUAAACUAUGCCGACUAGGGAUCGGAUGAUGUUAAUUUUUUAAUGACUCA
rnacentral:rRNA from 1 species